CUUCUCUUCAUUUGUCCUGAUCUCUGCUUUGUCCAGUUUGGUGACGAUGUCGUUCUUCCCACCAUAGAGCUGAAACACACAGUCGUACCUCCUCCAGUCUUCAGGUGGGACUGAUGAAUGAAGUUUCAGGUCAACACUCAUCUGGAAGGAUCCAUCGUGGUUGAGGAGGAUCUCUCCGUGGUCCACGUCCUCAUGAAUCUCCUCUCCAUCUUUCCUCCAGAUGAGUGUGGCACUGUCAGGGUAGAAACCUGUAGCGUGGCAGCUGACUGGAGA